AGUUUUGAACCGGCUUUCUUCCCUUGACAAAACAUUUCCUUAAUCACCAUGCAAUUCACUCGGAGAGUUCCUUGAGACUCUGAAGUGUAUUCCAGCCACUCCUGGCAAUUUUACAUCCAGUAUGUCAGUGAGACCCAGAACAUCAUGGAUUCUUCACACUAAUUUGCCGUGUCUGCUUUUUUUAGCCUUCAGAAUAACUGCCACAGUAAGGAUUCAGUGGUGGCUUCUCUUGCAUCAUUGUUUGCCAGUACAGAUUUUCCCUGUCACUUUCUGGUUUAUCUGGUCAACAGCAUACAUUUCCACCUUGGUCUUCUGAUAAGGU